rnacentral:rRNA from 1 species
UGGGGAAUAUUGCACAAUGGAGGGAACUCUGAUGCAGCGACGCCGCGUGAACGAAGAAGGCUUUCGAGUCGUAAAGUUCUUUUAUAUGGGAAGAUAAUGACGGUACCAUAAGAAGAAGCCCCGGCUAACUACGUGCCAGCAGCCGCGGUAAUACGUAGGGGGCUAGCGUUGUCCGGAAUCACUGGGCGUAAAGGGUUCGCAGGCGGAAAUGCAAGUCAGGUGUAAAAGGCAGUAGCUUAACUACUGUAAGCAUUUGAAACUGCAUAUCUUGAGAAGAGUAGAGGUAAGUGGAAUUUUUAGUGUAGCGGUGAAAUGCGUAGAUAUUAAAAAGAAUACCGGUGGCGAAGGCGACUUACUGGGCUCAUUCUGACGCUGAGGAACGAAAGCGUGGGUGGCAAACAGG